AGCAAGAGUAUUAAGGUACAAGGAAAAGCGACGAACAAGGUUGUUUUCCAAGAAAAUAAGAUACGAGGUUAGGAAAUUGAACGCUGAAAAAAGGCCUCGAAUGAAAGGAAGAUUCGUCAAGAGGACCAAUUUUGCACCAACCCCUUUUCCUUCACUUAAUAAAUAAGUGAAGUUUAAAGCAAAGGCAAGUUUAGAAUCGUUUUUGUGAGUUCAACUGAACUCAUUGCUUCAAGCUAGAACGAUGUAUAGUAUGUAUGCAAACAUUUUCUACAUAGAUGACGUUCAUUCUGGGUUUACCGACUCUAAAUACUAUAUGUUUGCAAGAAUCAGGUUUUUAUGUGCUACUUUUUAUAUAGUACAAGUAAACUUGAGCUUUCUUUCCUAGAUGU
rnacentral:misc_RNA from 1 species